GCACCUUUAGCUCAGCUGGCAGAGCAAAGGACUCUUAAUCCUUGGGUCGUGGGUUCGAGCCCCACAAGGUGUACCA
rnacentral:tRNA from 2 species